CCCAAAAGGCAGGAGAUAAACCAGACACUGGCACAGACUCCAUAUGCACAGUCUCUCCUCCUGAAUUUCCUGGAUACGGCUGGGCGCAUGAUGGCCAGGUAGCGGUCAACACUCAUGCAGAGAGGCAACGUGACAAGGAAAAUGAAGUCAGACACAGCCAGGUUGAUGAUGAAGAUGUCGAUCAGUCUUCGGCUGCCCCGUUUGAAAUGCAGUGCACUCAUGAGGACUAGGUUCCCCAACACUCCCGUCAGGAACACAACUGCGUAGAAGAUGGGAAGGAAGACAGAUGUGCAUUCUGCAGACCUGAUGAAUGAAAGCAGCCUCUUCCUUUGCAGGCUUCCCCAGAAACAUCUACCUCCUGAAUCACGAAGAUUUAUGUAUGCCAUGAGCCCAGCCUGGGAAUGCUCUGAGCCGAGCUCAGCAAGGAUGCCUGAAAUGUGGUCGUGGCAAGUCUUUCCUAGUCAUCUGCAGUUAGCCCUGAGUUUCAUAAACCUCCUGAAGUAAGCAGGACACCUACCUCUAUAAAUGGCUUAGUUCCAGCUUCUAGGGGAAUUGGGAGCAUUUGCUGUUUAUAUUGACCCUACCCAUACAUUAUAGAUAUUCAACAAAUAUUUGCAAAUACUAAUAAUUUAAUGAUUGUUUACUAUGCCCAGACCCUGUGCUGGGCACUUUACGUGCAUUUCUUUUUUUCAUUUAAUCUUGCCAAUGGUCACUUGGGAUAGGGAGUUUAUCAACAUUCAUAUUUUGGAGAAAAGAAAACUGCGACUUAAGAGGUUAACUAACUUGUCUAAGGUCACAAAACUAGUUAGUGCACCCUAUUAUCCAAGCUUGAUUAGUCAGUUAUUCACCCUGGGAUCAGCUUCCUUGACUAUGAAUUGAGGUAGUGUCUUCCUCUUUCAAACUUCCCUUCUACCUGGGUUUAUUUACCAUGUGACUUCACCAGAGAGGUAGUUCUGAAGAUAGGGGACUUGUGAUGAAGGCCAAAGGACAAGGAUAUUUUCUGGUACAUGACUCCUCCUUUCUGGUAGGAGUCAAAUUGCAUAUUAACAAUUUGCCUGUACAUCUCCACCACUUUCUCUAGAUGGUGCCUCUGACAAAGUUCUCCUUUAGUCAGACAUUCUACAUGAAAAUCCAGUCAUGUUUUAAUAUUAUAUUUGGCUAGUACCUUAUUUUAUUUAUGUGCUAGAUAUGAAUAUCAGUUUGCCAACUCAGGUGAAAGAAGUAGAACCACAGACAGAAAAACAGAUACUGUGCCUGCAACCUA